GGAAAAAACGCUGGCGGCGUGCCUAAUACAUGCAACUCGAGCGAGUGGAUUAAGAGCUUGCUCUUAUGAAGUUAGCGGCGGACGGGUGAGUAACACGUGGGUAACCUGCCCAUAAGACUGGGAUAACUCCGGGAAACCGGGGCUAAUACCGGAUAACAUUUUGAACCGCAUGGUUCGAAAUUGAAAGGCGGCUUCGGCUGUCACUUAUGGAUGGACCCGCGUCGCAUUAGCUAGUUGGUGAGGUAACGGCUCACCAAGGCAACGAUGCGUAGCCGACCUGAGAGGGUGAUCGGCCACACUGGGACUGAGACACGGCCCAGACUCCUACGGGAGGCAGCAGUAGGGAAUCUUCCGCAAUGGACGAAAGUCUGACGGAGCAACGCCGCGUGAGUGAUGAAGGCUUUCGGGUCGUAAAACUCUGUUGUUAGGGAAGAACAAGUGCUAGUUGAAUAAGCUGGCACCUUGACGGUACCUAACCAGAAAGCCACGGCUAACUACGUGCCAGCAGCCGCGGUAAUACGUAGGUGGCAAGCGUUAUCCGGAAUUAUUGGGCGUAAAGCGCGCGCAGGUGGUUUCUUAAGUCUGAUGUGAAAGCCCACGGCUCAACCGUGGAGGGUCAUUGGAAACUGGGAGACUUGAGUGCAGAAGAGGAAAGUGGAAUUCCAUGUGUAGCGGUGAAAUGCGUAGAGAUAUGGAGGAACACCAGUGGCGAAGGCGACUU
rnacentral:rRNA from 1 species